GGAAGCGGGGAUGACGUCAAGUCCUCAUGGCCCUUACAUCCCGGGCUACACACGUGCUACAAUGGCAGGUACAGAGGGCUGCGAAGCCGCGAGGUGGAGCGAAUCCCAGAAAACCUGUCUCAGUCCGGAUUGAAGUCUGCAACUCGACUUCAUGAAGGCGGAAUCGCUAGUAACCACGAAUCAGCAGGUCGCGGUGAAUACGUUCCCGGGCCUU
rnacentral:rRNA from 1 species